GUGAGGGUGACCGAGCGUGGGGGAAGCGUGAGCGAAACCGUGAGCCGAUGUACAAGAACCGGAUAGAAGGCGGUGCCGAUCAGGGCAAGCGGGCGUGUAACCG
rfam:Candidatus Burkholderia crenata strain TZHbot9 BCREchr_ctg222, whole genome shotgun sequence.